rnacentral:tRNA from 1 species
ACCUGGGUGGCUCAGUGGUUGAGCAUCUGCCUUUGGCUCAGGUCAUGAUCCUGGGGUCCUGGGAUCGAGUCCCACAUCAGGUU